ACGUUGACGACUAUGACCGUUCGAACCGCUACAGAGCGCGCUAUUCUCUCGUGGUUGUGAUCCGAGCUAAUUGGUCGAUCGUAGACAGCACGUGGAGAAUCUUCUAGAUAUCUAAUCCUAAUAUCAAUUUUCUCAAUGAAAAUCGUUUUUUCGUGAAAAACGCAAACGAUUCAACAGCGAUAAGUUAUCUAUACUUCUUCAAAGUGAAUCAUUCUUCUUCAGACUUCUUCGAUACUCAGAGCGUUGGACAUUUAAACGGGAAUAUCUGUGUACAAUAAGAUUUUUUUUUUUUUUCCUUAGUAAAGAACGAACAUAAAACAAUACUUUUUAUUGAUAUACUUAUCUUUUUAAAACUUUAUCUUUCAGCUAAUUCUGCAGCAACUUUGCGAUUACAAGCAAAGAUAUUUAAACGUUUCUGUUCAGAUGUCCUGUCCUGUAUAGAAAGAAAAAUUGCAAGCUGAGCUUUCGAAGUUUCUUUGAAUUCUUGGAGAUGUCGGAAUCUGCUGCUCGUUGACGAUGUCAGCUGUUUUUUGUCAAUCAUUUUUUCAUUAUCAUAAAGAUAAUAAACUUUCAUGUAAAAAAUAUUGCGAACACGAAAAUGACACAUGUUAGGAAACAAAAGGAUAUAUCAACGUGUCGCAAAAUUUUUACGUCGAGGAAAGUUGGACGUUCGGCGUGUAUGCCAUUCGAGAGGAAGAAAGUGAUCGGAGACGAGUUCCUUCGUGCGGAAAAUACGAGCGGUUAUUUUUGUCCGGUUCUUACGCGGAGAUGGUUGGUAACUGCCGUAGGGAGGAGAGAAGAAGAGGAAGAUGAGAAGGAGAAGACGGUCCAUUCGUUCUACUCUCGUGCACGCUCCAAUAUAUCAUCCUGCGCAGCAUCCAGCGUAGACUGAACGGGAGAGCUACGGGAUUAUCUUUAGUUACGAAAAACGACGAGAUCGUGUUUCGCUCGAAAACUGACGUCGAAGUUCAUUCGUUUUUACCUCUUUCUCUCUAUCAAUCUAUCUCUGUCUCUCUUUUUUCCUCUCCUUUUGCACUUGAAAAUAAAAGAUUUCAUUCCUUUAUGGAGUGAAGAAAAAAUCAACCAGCCGUAGCGAAACAAAUAAUAUCGAGUUGAUUCAUAAAUAGAUACUGUUAUACAAGUAAUAAAUUUAAGACAAUGGAAGGGUACUUAUUUAUGAAUCAACUUAAUAACUAUAAUGUACAAAAUAAUAAAGUUAGUAAUUCGUAAUUACAAAUUUGAUUCACAUAUAUAUCCAAUAAUAAAGAUGACGACAAUGAUAAUGAUAAAUAAAUAAGAAAACACGUGAUGCAAUAAAAAAAUAACAUCUCAUCGACUUCUUUUAGAGGUAAUAUAUUUGUUUUCCGAUUUUUUUUUUGUAACCUAUUAAUAUAUCGUAUAAUAAUUAAUAUUAAUAAAGAUAACAGACGAUAUAUAUUACAGUUGUCGAUUCUAAGCGUGUAGAAUAACCAAGAAAAGAUCAUUCGUGCGUAGGGACGACGAAAGAUCUAUUCUCGCUCAUGGCCUUUUUCUCUUUCGCUAUUUCCUCUCUUUCUACUUGUCGUCGAUGGAAGCUACUUCUGUGUUUUUUUUUCUUUUUUUUUUUCUUUAACUUUUGUCUGAGCAAAUUUCUAACUAUCUCAUUCGGAACACUCGUUCCCGCUAGAACGUGCGCGUGUACAUUAUAAUUUUCCGUCGUUAAGUACAUAAUCAUCGAUGAUUGAUAAAAA